rnacentral:rRNA from 1 species
GACGAACGCUGGCGGCGUGCCUAAUACAUGCAAGUAGAACGCUGAAGGAGGAGCUUGCUUCUCUGGAUGAGUUGCGAACGGGUGAGUAACGCGUAGGUAACCUGCCUUGUAGCGGGGGAUAACUAUUGGAAACGAUAGCUAAUACCGCAUAAGAGUAGAUGUUGCAUGACAUUUGCUUAAAAGGUGCAAUUGCAUCACUACCAGAUGGACCUGCGUUGUAUUAGCUAGUUGGUGGGGUAACGGCUCACCAAGGCGACGAUACAUAGCCGACCUGAGAGGGUGAUCGGCCGCACUGGGACUGAGACACGGCCCAGACUCCUACGGGAGGCAGCAGUAGGGAAUCUUCGGCAAUGGACGGAAGUCUGACCGAGCAACGCCGCGUGAGUGAAGAAGGUUUUCGGAUCGUAAAGCUCUGUUGUAAGAGAAGAACGAGUGUGAGAGUGGAAAGUUCACACUGUGACGGUAUCUUACCAGAAAGGGACGGCUAACUACGUG